rnacentral:rRNA from 1 species
GACGAACCGUGCGAACGUUGUUCGGAUUCACUGGGCUUAAAGGGCGCGUAGGCGGCGCGAAAAGUCUGGGGUGAAAUCUUUCGGCUUAACCGGAAAAGAGCCCCCGAUACUGGCGCGCUGGAGGGAGGUAGGGGCAUGUGGAACUCCAGGUGGAGCGGUGAAAUGCGUAGAUAUCUGGAGGAACGCCGGUGGCGAAAGCGACGUGCUGGACCUUCUCUGACGCUGAGGCGCGAAAGCGUGGGGAGCAAACAGG